GAGAAUCAAAAGAAAUAGAUUCAGCCAGAGAAUCGAAAUGGAGGAGAUCUAGCCAGAAGAUCGAAGAAGAUCUAGCCAGAAGAUCAAAAUCGUAUCCAGCCCGAGGAUCAAAAUUAAUAUCCAACCAGAGGACUUAAUUGAGUAUAGGUUCAGCCAGAUGAUCGAAACUCCAAAUUAAGCCAGAGGAUCGGAAGAAAAAUAAAC
rnacentral:lncRNA from 1 species